rnacentral:rRNA from 1 species
CGGAGGAUCCAAGCGUUAUCCGGAUUUAUUGGGUUUUAAAAGGGUGCGUAGGCGGCUUAUUAAGUUACAGGGGUGGAAAGGAACGGUGGGCGUCAACCCAAUCGCAGUGCCUUUGAUACUGAUGAGCUUGAAUACACUUGAGGUAGGCGGAAUGUGACAAGUAGCGGUGAAAUGCAUAGAUAUGUCACAGAACACCAAUUGCGAAGGCAGCUUACUAAGGUGCAAUUGACGCUGAGGCACGAAAGCGUGGGGAGUCAAACAGGAUU